rnacentral:rRNA from 1 species
AGAGUUUGAUCAUGGCUCAGGAUGAACGCUAGCUACAGGCUUAACACAUGCAAGUCGAGGGGAAACGACAUCGAAAGCUUGCUUUUGAUGGGCGUCGACCGGCGCACGGGUGAGUAACGCGUAUCCAACCUGCCCACCACUUGGGGAUAACCUUGCGAAAGUAAGACUAAUACCCAAUGAUAUCUCUAGAAGACAUCUGAAAGAGAUUAAAGAUUUAUCGGUGAUGGAUGGGGAUGCGUCUGAUUAGCUUGGUUGGCGGGGUAACGGCCCACCAAGGCUACGAUCAGUAGGGGUUCUGAGAGGAAGGUCCCCCCANAUUGGAACUGAGACACGGUCCAAACUCCUACGGGAGGCA